rnacentral:rRNA from 1 species
GUGGCGGCAGGCUUUACACAUGCAAGUCGAGCGCCCCGCAAGGGGAGGGCAGACGGGUGAGUAACGCGUGGGAAUCUACCCAUCUCUACGGAAUAACUCAGGGAAACGUUGAAUAAUACCGUAUACGCCCUACGGGGGAAAGAUUUAUCGGGAUGGAUGAGCCCGCGUUGGAUUAGCUAGUUGGUGGGAAGCACC